CAAACUAGGAAUAGUUAAAGUACCAAGUUGCAUAUUAACCCAUAAAAAAAUGGGGCAAAUAAGUCAAAACCAAAAACCCUUCAUUUAGGUUUGGUUAUUGUAUAGCCUACACUACAGUGCAAGCUAUCUCCUUCUUCUUCGUCACCUCAAACCCAAAAACCCCUUUUAAUUCCCAUAUUAAUUGGCUUCAAUUUUUCGCUAGGGUUUUCCAGACUUUGAAAUUUCAAGUAAAAAAGAACAAUGAAAAAUCUGAAGCUUUAUUCCGAGAUUACAUCGAAUCUUCAGUUACAAUCAGAAGGCGAAGUAUUACUGUUCUCUGCUUAUGACAUUGAAAGAAAUCGCUUCUUCUUUGCUUCUUCGUAUAAUCUUAUUUACACACUCCAUCUUUCUUCUCUCCAAAAUGAGCGAGCAUGGACGAAAGGUCCUUUACAAGCAGAAAUUGAUCCAUUGGAUUUGGAGCCUGAGGAUGUCAUUACCUCCUUUGAUUAUCUUAUGGAGAAAGAAGCAUUGAUAGUGGGCACUUCUAAUGGGCUGUUACUGCUGCAUAACGUGGAUGGAAAGGAAACGGAAGUUGUUGGUCGAGUUGAAGGUGGAGUCAAGUGCAUUUCGCCUAGUCCUGAUGGAGACUUGCUAGGUGUAACUACUGGCUUAGGGCAACUACUGGUGAUGACUCAUGAUUGGGAUUUGUUGUACGAGACUGCUUUGGAGGACCAACCCGAUGGAGUUGACGUAAGUGAACCAAAAUUUCCAUCUGGAGAAAUGUUUGGCAGCCCCAUCACAUGGAGAGGUGAUGGGAAGUACUUUGCCACUCUAAGUGAGGUGUUGAAUUCUUCGAGUAAGAGGCUAAAAGUCUGGGAACGGGAUGGUGGAGCUGUACAUGCUUCCUCUGAACCAAAGGAAUUAAUGGGGUCUAUUCUGGACUGGAUGCCUAGUGGAGCAAAGAUUGCUGCCGUUUGUGACAGGAAGGCACAGAACGAAGGUCCAUCAAUAGUUUUCUUUGAAAGAAAUGGGUUAGAAAGAAGCUCGUUUCUCAUUGGUGAACCAAUUGACGCAACUGUAGAACUUCUGAAGUGGAAUUGCAGUUCUGAUCUUCUUGCAGCUGUUGUUAGAUGUGGAAAUUAUGAUUCUGUGAAGAUCUGGUUUUUCAGCAACAAUCAUUGGUAUCUAAAGCAUGAAAUCAAAUACUCGAGGAAAGAUGGUGUUAGAUUCAUGUGGGAUCCAACAAAGUCACAGCAAUUAAUUUGUUGGUCUCUUGAUGGACAAGUCACAGUUUACAAGUUCUUUUGGGUUACAGCUGUCACGGAUGAAUCAAACGCUUUAGUUAUUGAUGGCUCUAAGAUACUUGUGACCCCUCUUCCUUUGUUCUUAAUGCCACCUCCUAUGUAUUUAUUCAGCCUUAAUUUUCCAAGUGCCGUUCGGGAAGUGGCUUUUUAUUCCAUGAAUGGUAAGAAUUGCUUGGCUGCAUUGUUAUCAAAUGGUUGUCUGUGUGUUGCAGAGCUUCCAACACCUGACACUUGGGAAUCUCUAGAAGGUAAAGAAAUUAGUGUGGAACCAUGUGCAUCUGCAACCCCAUUGGGAUCCUUUGUACAUCUUAUAUGGCUGGAUCCACACGUGCUUCUUGCUGUUUCUCAUCAUGGAUUCAAUCACAGCAAUUGUUAUUUCCAACCCUCUUCAAAUGAGGAUAGGCUUCUUGGUUUCUAUUUGCAGGAGAUCGAGCUCUCUUGUUCUGAAGAUAAUGUCCCAGGUCUACUGACAUGCUCUGGUUGGCAUGCAAAAGUUUCAUAUCGAAAUUUGUUGGAAGGACUUGUAGUCGGUGUUGCUCCCAAUCCUGCUAAAAGAAGCUCAGCUUUUGUUCAGUUUGAUGGUGGAGAAGUUUUUGAGUAUACAUCUAAGUUGGGAAUUAACAAACUCGAUUUUAAACAUGAUGAGUUAAGGUUUUCUUCAUCUUGCCCCUGGAUGAAUGUGGUUCUAGUUGGUGUUACUGAACCAUCAAAGCUUUUGCUUUUUGGUCUUGAUGAUAUGGGUAGGCUGCACGUCGGUAGGAAAAUAUUAUGCAGCAAUUGCAGCAGUUUCUCAUUUUACUCUAAUUUAUCUGACAAUGUAAUCACACAUUUGAUCCUUGCAACAAAACAAGAUUUGCUCUUUAUUGUUGACAUUGGUGAUAUAUUGCAUGGAGAACUUGAAUUAACAUGUGAAAACUUUAUCCAUGUUGGUAACAAACGAAGGGAAGAGGAGAAUAUUAACUUCAUAAAUAUUUGGGAAAGAGGGGCCAAAAUUGUUGGUGUUUUGCAUGGAGAUGAAGCUGCUGUUAUAUUGCAAACAAAUCGUGGAAAUCUGGAGUGCAUCUAUCCAAGAAAAUUGGUGCUAGCCUCAAUUGUCAAUGCUUUGAACCAAAGACGCUUUAGGGAUGCACUUCUUAUGGUUAGGCGGCACAGGAUUGAUUUUAAUGUGAUUGUUGAUUAUUGUGGGUUGCAAGUGUUUAUUCAAUUAGCUUCCGAGUUUGUCAAGCAGGUAAAAAAUUUGAGUUACAUAACUGACUUUGUUUGUGCUAUUAAACAUGAAAAUGUGACGGAGAAACUUUACAAAAUGUUUCUCUCUCCACCUAGCUGCAAGGAGCAAAAGGAUCUGUUAACUAAUGAUUUCAAGGGUUCUGAUGCUAGUUUAGAUGCAAAUAACAAGGUCUCAUUGGUGCUUCUGGCCAUAAGAAGGGCACUUGAUGAACAAGUACCUGAAAGUCCUGCAAGGGAGCUCUGUAUUUUGACCACUCUGGCUCGUAGUGAUCCCCCUGCUCUUGAAGAGGCUUUGGAGAGGGUAAAAGUAAUCCGGGAGAUGGAGUUAUCAGGUUCUGACGACCCAAGACAAGUAAAUUGCCCUUCUGCUGAAGAAGCUCUAAAACAUCUACUGUGGUUAUCAGAUCCAGAGGCUGUCUUUGAAGCUGCUUUAGGUCUUUAUGAUUUGAACCUUGCAGCUAUUGUGGCUCUGAACUCUCAGCGGGACCCUAAGGAAUUUCUUCCCUUUCUCCAGGAAUUGGAACGUAUGCCUGAUCUCUUGAUGCGCUAUAAUAUUGACCUUAGGCUGCACAGGUUUGAGAAGGCUCUCAAACACAUUGUAUCCGCAGGUGACAGCCAUUUCUUUGAUUGCAUGAACCUUAUGAAGAAAAACCCUCAACUUUUUCCUCUAGGACUUCAGCUGAUAACUGAUAAUACAAAAAGAGGGCAAGUACUUGAGGCUUGGGGAGAUCAUCUUAGUGAUGAAAAAUGCUUUGAAGAUGCUGCUGCCACUUACUUGUGUUGCACCAAUUUGCAAAAGGCUUUGAAGGCAUAUCGUGAAUGUGGUAAUUGGAGUGGCAUGCUGACAGUAGCCGGGCUUAUGAAGCUAGAAAAGAAUGAGGUUUUGCAACUGGCUCAUGAGCUUUCUGAAGAACUCCAAGCCCUUGGUAAACCUGGAGAAGCUGCCAAGAUUGCUUUGGAGUACUGUGGGGCUAUUAAUGGUGGGAUUAAUUUGCUCAUCAGUGCAAGGGAUUGGGAAGAGGCUUUGAGGGUUGCUUUUUUGCAUAGUAGAGAGGAUUUAGUCUCAGUAGUGAAAAGCGCAGCACUUGAAUGUGCGAGCAGCCUAAUAGAUGAAUAUAAAGAAGGGCUUGAAAAAGUGGGGAAAUAUUUGGCUCGCUAUUUAGCUGUUCGACAGAGAAGGUUGCUGCUUGCAGCAAAGCUGCAAUCGGAGGAAAGGUCGAUAAAUGAUCUUGAUGAUGAUACUGCUUCAGAAGCUAGUAGUACAUUCAGUGGAAUGAGUGUCUACACAAAAGGCACAAGAAAAAGCUUUGCUGCUUCAACUGCCUCAACCACAGCUAGCGGGGCAAGAGAUACCAGACGUCAGCGAAGUAGAGGAAAAAUUCGUCCUGGAAGCCCGGGCGAGGAGAUGGCUCUUGUGGAACAUUUGAAAGGCAUGUCCCUAACAGCUGGAGCAAAGCAGGAACUGAAGUCCUUGCUGGUUUCUCUUGUAAUGCUUGGCGAGGAAGAAACUGCACGGAAAGUGCAACAUGUGGGAGAGAACUUUCAACUUUCUCACCUGGCUGCAGUCAGACUAGCUGAAGAUACAUUGUCUGAUGAUACCAUAAAUGAGCAUGGACAUACUUUGGAGCGUUAUCUCCAGAAAGUAAAGACGGAACUUAAGGAUUCAGAUGCUUUUUCAUGGCGCUGUCGAGUAUUCUUUUCUCCUUGACAGGUGAGCUUAUUUCUCACUAAUUGUCCCCCAUGGUUCAAACUUCUUGUUUGUUGAACUAUAACUUAUAUUAUUCGAUUUUUCGAUGGAUUACUUUCUGCACCGGUAACUUCUUCAUAAUCAAUGCAUGUUUUAACUUUACGAUAUUUGAUGGAACCUUUGGGUUGCACCUGGCUUACCACGUUCUACAUCAAAGCAUUUGCCAUGAUUUUUCUUGUUCUUCGAAGAACAUAGCUUUGGGCUCCAUGUAAUGAGUUACAGGCAUAAAGGAACUGUAUACACCAUAGCUGCUAUGCAUUUUGAGAUUGAGAAGUUCAGGAGAUAGUGCAGGCAUUGGAUUAUUUAUUCUAUGGAAGAAGCCUUUCAAAAUCACCACUCCCAAUUUCUUUGACAUUGAUCACUUCAUUGGGAUUUUGUAUUUGUACCAGCUGCUUGCUUGAUUAUGUUUUUGUUUUGAGUUCUGCUAAUAGAUAGCUAAUUAGGGUUUGUACUUUCAGUUUUUUUUUACUUUAGUUGGAAUAAAAAAUUGUCUACUAUA